CUCGUGCACAUGUGUAUGACUACAUGUAUGCAUGGGCACGAGUGCCCAUGCAUACAUGUAGUCAUGUAUGCAUGGGUCAUGUA
rnacentral:pre_miRNA from 1 species